rnacentral:lncRNA from 1 species
GGACGCCCAAUUUGACUUCACUGUUGUGAGUAGACAUAGAUGACAAGAUGUGUGUGUGUUGCUUAUAAAAAAAAAUAUUAAUGCAAGUUAUUAUGUUUAGCAUGACAUGUUGAUGCUACGCAAGUGGUGGUGCGUAAUGUUAAUGGAGACAUUUGAGGUAGAAGGCUACGGGAAGAGAUUUGCCCACUGGACGGACAAUGCAAAAGCCCUUCUGAAUGGACAGUUACAACCCAUCUUCCGUGUUGGAGAACAUGUGUACAGCCAGGAACUUCCACCACCAGUACAGAGGGAACAAGAAAGAAAAUAUACACACCACCACUGUCUUGCGCAAGACAUUAACGCCUGUGUUUACCAAAGGAUACGAAACAAGUAAUAAAACAAUCAUUUGCAUAAACAAUGUACCAGUUUAGGGGUUACAUAUAUGGAUUUAAAAUGUGGUGUUUUUGUAUUUAUAUAGAUUAAUGUAUCCAGAAGUGCAGCCCGUCAAGUGGGUCCAGUGUCAGUUCUGUGGCGGUCAGUUGCACAGUGACUGUGCAGGAGUGGAAACAUUGAAAGAAGACACAUUUAGCUGUGGAUGUCACCAACCAGUGCCUUAUCCAUAUAAAAUGUUUAUUUUAUACACACAUUAAACCCAUUUUCUUUGGUUGUAUUAGACUUGCAUUAAACGCAUAAAUAAAUAUGUUUCUGUCUCCA